rnacentral:rRNA from 1 species
GACGAACGCUGGCGGCGUGCCUAAUACAUGCAAGUAGAACGCACAGUUUAUACCGUAGCUUGCUACACCAUAGACUGUGAGUUGCGAACGGGUGAGUAACGCGUAGGUAACCUGCCUGGUAGCGGGGGAUAACUAUUGGAAACGAUAGCUAAUACCGCAUAAUAUUAAUUAUUGCAUGAUAAUUAAUUGAAAGGUGCAAUUGCACCACUACCAGAUGGACCUGCGUUGUAUUAGCUAGUAGGAGAGGUAACGGCUCACCUAGGCGACGAUACAUAGCCGACCUGAGAGGGUGAUCGGCCACACUGGGACUGAGACACGGCCCAGACUCCUACGGGAGGCAGCAGUAGGGAAUCUUCGGCAAUGGACGAAAGUCUGACCGAGCAACGCCGCGUGAGUGAAGAAGGUUUUCGGAUCGUAAAGCUCUGUUGUAAGAGAAGAACGGGUGUGAGAGUGGAAAGUUCACACUGUGACGGUAUCUUACCAGAAAGGGACGGCUAACUACGUG